UAUUAAAGUGGCAGACAAAAUGCAAGGAAUUUAAGCUUCCUUUAUGAAUUUCUUCCUUUAAUAA
rnacentral:tRNA from 1 species